UCACAGCACAACCAGUAUUCUUGUCCGCGGAAGGACCACCCCCGACGGCCAAAGAAAGAAGGAAACUCGAUCUCCUCGAGGAGAGAUUGAGGGUUGUUUAAGGCUUUGGUGACUAUCCAUUCGCGGACAUGAUGGAUCUUUGCUUGG
rnacentral:pre_miRNA from 1 species